rnacentral:misc_RNA from 1 species
UGUGGGAGCUGGCUUGCCUGCGAUAGCGGUGUGUCAGCCAGCUCAUCAGUGACUGACUUGCCGCCAUCGCAGGCAAGCCAGCUCCCACA